rnacentral:rRNA from 1 species
GACGAAGGGGGCUAGCGUUGCUCGGAAUCACUGGGCGUAAAGCGCACGUAGGCGGAUCUUUAAGUCAGGGGUGAAAUCCCAAGGCUCAACCUUGGAACUGCCUUUGAUACUGGGGAUCUCGAGUCCGGAAGAGGUUGGUGGAACUGCGAGUGUAGAGGUGAAAUUCGUAGAUAUUCGCAAGAACACCAGUGGCGAAGGCGGCUCACUGGCCCGAUACUGACGCUGAGGCACGAAAGCGUGGGGAGCAAACAGG